rnacentral:piRNA from 1 species
UGCCAUCAUAUGGCUUUCCUAAGGUGAACUC